rnacentral:misc_RNA from 1 species
GAUGAAGAACGCAGCGAAAUGCGAUACGUAAUGUGAAUUGCAGAAUUCAGUGAAUCAUCGAAUCUUUGAACGCACAUUGCGCCUGCCAGCACUCUGGCAGGCAUGUCUGUUCGAGCGUCAUUUCAACCAUCAAGCCCUAGGCUUGCGUUGGAGCCCUGCGGCUGCCGCAGGCCCCUAAAAGCAGUGGCGGGCUCGCUAUCACACCGAGUGCAGUAGAUUACUCUUCGCUCAGGGCGUGUGGCGGGUUCCAGCCGUGAAACCCCCUACUUCUCAAGGUUGACCUCGGAUCAGGUAGGAAUACCCGCUGAACUUAAGCAUAUCAAUAAGCGGAGGA